CCUGCCCCUAGAGGAGGCCUUGCAGAUGUGACUGCUGUGUCACUUGUGUGUCAGUAAGUGGCAGAGGGGAAAGAGGCUAUUUCUACACCCAGUGUUCUGACCUAUGGACAUCUGAAUGAUUAGUAGACUAACACU
ensembl:snoRNA LOC120094911 small nucleolar RNA SNORA17